GGUACUGGUACAGGUACCCGCCCACCCCUAGUCAGCUGUUCUUGACGGCAGGGCGGCGGCAUGCACGAGCGUCACAUUUUUCCCCACAUCUCGACUUUGAGGGCGUGGCGCGGCGCUGGACGAGACGACAAGGCCAAGUGUGGAGUCACCUGACCAGCAUGUUUGUCUCGCAGUCAGCUGUAUACUGGACUACUGUGGCAACCCACAGCUGGUUUGGAAGUGUCCCUCACCCCCAUGGCCCACUACAAGUCUCCCUACACCAGAACACCAGAGGAGCAGCUAGCAAGAGAAUGAGCACUGUGCUCGCCAUGCCUGCUGCCAGCAACCCCAUGGUUGGACUUGGAUGGCUUGGCUGGAUGUAAAAUGGCUAAGAGCAGAGGGGGCUCACUAUUUUUCCUUGGGAAUUGGAGGAAUAGAAGGAGAUGACUGAUGAUUCACCACUGCUUCCUAUAUGCGACUCCUGGCCCCAUUACAAACAACUGCAGGACAGAUUACCACUUCAUUUAUGGGAAGAAUGCAGAUCCGUAGCCAAGACCCUCAGAUCUUCCUAAGUAUAAUCUGAGUAAAAUAAGACAAUUUUCCCAUCAUGCAGGUAGUAUUGAGUCAGUGCACACCUUCAGCCAGUGGCUCGAUUGUUUCAGCAUUUUCAAAGUUAUGACUCUGUACUGACACUUAAAAAUAGCCAUGGCUCACUUCCUAUUCAAAUUUAAAGAACCUUCAUUAAUUGCAAUCUUGACAAAGAACUGGCAGUUUUCAUUGUGUCACCCACAGUUACAGGUCAUUACCAUUGCCUCAUGAAAGUGCUGAAAGAAAUGGCCUUAGCUCCUUGCCUUUGAACUGUGAGCUUUGAUCUAACUAAUUUUGUAUGUUUCUAUGCCUCUUCUUUUUAACUUUCCACUCCUUCCGUAAUCCCUUCAGUAUCACUUAACCAACACUACCAUUCCAGCAUUCCUUCUUUUCAUGUACCAACUCAUUUCUGUUUCAAAUAUAUAUUUUAGCAUUACAUGCUAUUUGCUACAUAUUGUUAGGAUGUUAUUGAUAAAUGUAGUUCCUGUCUGACAAAAAACAGGAGCUGGGCAGAUCUUGUAGUCCUGUCAACAGUCAUGUCCCAAACAACAUUACGAGUAUUAUGCAUAGUUACAAGACUAUAUGAAGCUUUGAUAAAAAAUAUGAACUAUAGUCAGUAUAUCAUAUUAUGAUGAACUAUCACAUGGUUAAUUGAUUUGUGUAUUAUGUAGAAGUUCUUUACUUCUUAUUUCCUUGGCCAGA